rnacentral:rRNA from 1 species
CCUUGAAAUACCACCCUUUAAUGUUUGAUGUUCUAACGUGGACCCGUGAUCCGGGUUGCGGACAGUGUCUGGUGGGUAGUUUGACUGGGGCGGUCUCCUCCUAAAGAGUAACGGAGGAGCACGAAGGUUGGCUAAUCCUGGUCGGACAUCAGGAGGUUAGUGCAAUGGCAUAAGCCAGCUUGACUGCGAGCGUGACGGCGCGAGCAGGUGCGAAAGCAGGUCAUAGUGAUCCGGUGGUUCUGAAUGGAAGGGCCAUCGCUCAACGGAUAAAAGGUACUCCGGGGAUAACAGGCUGAUACCGCCCAAGAGUUCAUAUCGACGGCGGUGUUUGGCACCUCGAUGUCGGCUCAUCACAUCCUGGGGCUGAAGUAGGUCCCAAGGGUAUGGCUGUUCGCCAUUUAAAGUGGUACGCGAGCUGGGUUUAGAACGUCGUGAGACAGUUCGGUCCCUAUCUGCCGUGGGCGCUGGAGAACUGAGGGGGGCUGCUCCUAGUACGAGAGGACCGGAGUGGACGCAUCACUGGUGUUCGGGUUGUCAUGCCAAUGGCACUGCCCGGUAGCUAAAUGCGGAAGAGAUAAGUGCUGAAAGCAUCUAAGCACGAAACUUGCCCCGAG